rnacentral:misc_RNA from 1 species
CAUGAAUUACGGGGGGCCGGAUCCAGCACGCGUAUACCGCAAGGGAGCGUGUGUUGCCCUGCCCUGUCUGAUAUUCUACCCAUGUCUUUUGCGUACUAUUUGUUUCCUCGGCGGGCUUGCCUGCCGAUAGGACAUCCUAAAACCUUUUGUAAUUGCAGUCAGCGUCAGAAAAACUUAAUAGUUA